AUUGAACGCUGGCGGCAGGCCUAACACAUGCAAGUCGAGCGAGCGGCGGACGGGUGAGUAAUGUAUGGGGACUGCCCGAUAGAGGGGGAUAACUACUGGAAACGGUGGCUAAUACCGCAUACUGUCGGAUAACCCAUAUGUGAUUAGCUAGUAGGUAAGGUAAUGGCUUACCUAGGCGACGAUCCCUAGCUGGUCUGAGAGGAUGAACGUCCACAAUGGGCCUGAGACACGGCCCAGACUCCUACGGAGGAAGCAGUGGGGAAGCUGCCGCAAUGGACGAAAGUCUGACGGAGCCACGCCGCGUGAGUGAUGCUGGCCUUCGGGUUGUAAAGAUCUGUGAAUCGGGAGACGGUACCGGAAUAGAAAGCCACGGCUAACUACGUGCCAGCCGCCGCGGUAAUAC
rnacentral:rRNA from 1 species